GUUUGAUAGAAAAUUGAGGGGAAGACUAAUGUGGAACAAAAUCUAUGACCUUCACAUAGAUUAUCCAAGAGUUUCAAUCUUAUGAUAACCAACUCUCUAUAUUUCCUACUUAAUGUGUCAUUCUAACACACACACAUAAAAGGAAAAGUUUAAUUGUUAAAAAACUUAAAUCUUUAGCGUUUCUAUAAUUAUAUUUAAAUCUUUUCAGUAAUUAUUGCUAAAUUUCAAAGGUUUAUUAUAAUUAUACCAUGUGUUCAAAAUUGAGUUUGAAGAUUGCUAACACGGUGUCG
rnacentral:misc_RNA from 1 species